rnacentral:ncRNA from 2 species
CUGCAACGUAGAGGCGCAUUGCCUAACAGUAGUUUAGUGAAGGUCGACAGCCGGUGAAGCUAAGCGAAAGGAGUCAAUGCCGAAGUGGUUUUGGUCGUCAGCCAAGCUGCUGGGGUUGUUCUUAAUAGGAGCAGCACUGUCAUCUCGGGCCCUGCCCGGAUGGAGAGCUACAGCAAUA